GUAGUAAUUCUAGAGCUAAUACAUGCAUCAACUCCCAACUGCUUCGGCGGACGGGAUGUAUUUAUUAGAUGGAAACCAAUACCGAGUUUUCUCGGUUUUUGUGGUGAAUCAUAGUAACUGUGCGAAUCGACUUCGGUCGAUGGUUCAUUCAAGUUUCUGCCCUAUCAGCUUCGGAUGGUAGGGUAUUGGCCUACCAUGGCUUUAACGGGUAACGGAGAAUUGGGGUUCGAUUCCGGAGAGGGAGCC
rnacentral:rRNA from 14 species